rnacentral:rRNA from 1 species
UACAGAGGAUGCAAGCGUUAUCCGGAAUGAUUGGGCGUAAAGCGUCUGUAGGUGGCUUUUAAGUCCGCCGUCAAAUCCAGGCUCAACUCUGGACAGGCGGUGGAACUACCAAGCUGGAGUACGGUAGGGCAGAGGGAAUUUCCGGUGGAGCGGUGAAUGCGUAGAGAUCGGAAAGAACACCAACGGCGAAAGCACUCUGCUGGCCGACACUGACACUGAGAGACGAAAGCUAGGGAGCGAAUGGG